ensembl:lncRNA
CUCUCUCUCCCUCUCUCUCUCUCUCCCUCUCUCUCCCUCUCUCUCUCUCCAUCUCUCUCUCCAUCUCCAUCUCACAGAAAAUCGAUCAUCCGUCAGAGUUCUGUCAAACGUUGAAAGUGUUGGAACAAAAUGUCAGCAGUGGAACAGAGUGCCAGCCCAGUGGUGGUUUGCCUUUUCUCAAAACAAUAAAAAGAAUCUCCAACUGUUCUUCCGUGAGUCCAAGAGUAUGAUUAUUGUAUUGAUUAUAGUCAGCACCAUGAUGAUGAGCAAGGCAGACCCAAUAUUGUACCUGCUUGUUCACUGACUUGGUACCAGCGUCGCCUAGUGGUUAGAGCGUUGGACUAGAAACCGGAAGGUUGCAAGUUCAAACCCACGAGCUGACAAGGUACAAAUCUGUCGUUCUGCCCCUGAACAGGCAGUUAACCCACUGUUCCUAGGCCGUCAUUGAAAAUAAGAAUUUGUUCUUAACUGACUUGCCUAGUUAAAUAAAUGAAAAAAAUAAAAAAUGUAGUAUUCCAUAGAAGACAGGGAUCAAUCACUGUAACUACUAGCUCUUGUAAAUCAGUGGUAAUAGUCCUCUUCGGUAGGUACAGCUCUGAAUAACAACAGCCACUUCUUUAUUCAGCCCUGAGCGUCCACCUAGAACCAGUCAGUCAGAUGGUUGAGAGGUUGAUGGCUGUACAGCCAUGCUGAAUUACUGACGAUGGCACUCUAUUUUCACAUUGUUGGUGGAAGUCUGUAUGGAUAAACGUGUGAAAUUCACUGGGAUAUUAGUAGAAAGCAACGGGAGAAGACCGACAGACUCGUACAAACAGAAAAGAAAAGAAAAACACCCACACAAUAAGGUAGGAGGGGCAUGGGUAAACACAGCCAAUCACACAGAUCGGUAGUCCUGUUCAGACACACAAUUAGAGCUCUGAGCUGACCUUAGGUAUAGAUGGGGUUGUCAGAACAGCACAGUCUCUGGCUAGGGCUCUGAGUAUUGGCUGGUCUCAUGGUGAUGACCCUGGAAUUGGACGGACUCUUUGAGGCCUUUCCUGGAAUGGUGCAUGCUGGGAGUAGACUUCAGUAGACUCACUGAGGAGAACAGGCC